rnacentral:lncRNA from 1 species
AGACUUGAUUGGAUCAACUAAGAAUCAAGGGUUAAGAACCAUCCCAAAGGAGUGUACUAAGAAUAAAAACCUGUAGAUCAUGUUCUAAAAAGUUCCCUGAUUCUUAAUUCCAUCUAGCGGAUAUUACACGUUAGGAUGACUGACUCAUCAACCCAUAAAAUUCUCAAGAGAAAUUCGUCUGAGUGUAGUAUCGCGUAAUAACUGUUAUCAAGUCUACAGUUGAACAGUCUCCGCACUACGUCCUAAAUAGGCCAAGUUGGGUUAAAU